UGAGGGAAUAUUGGGUCAAUGGGCGCAGGCCUGAACCAGCCAAGUCGCGUGAGGGAGGACGGUCCUACGGAUUGUAAACCUCUUUUGUCGGGGAGUAACGUGCGGGACGCGUCCCGUAUUGAGAGUACCCGAAGAAAAAGCAUCGGCUAACUCCGUGCCAGCAGCCGCGGUAAUACGGAGGAUGCGAGCGUUAUCCGGAUUUAUUGGGUUUAAAGGGUGCGUAGGCGGACGAUUAAGUCAGCGGUGAAAGCGUGUGGCUCAACCAUACCACUGCCGUUGAUACUGGUUGUCUUGAGUGUAAACGAGGUAGGCGGAAUGUGAUGUGUAGCGGUGAAAUGCUUAGAUAUGUCACAGAACCCCGAUUGCGAAGGCAGCUUACCAGGAUACAACUGACGCUGAGGCACGAAAGCGUGGGUAUCAAACAGGAUUAGAUACCCUGGUAGU
rnacentral:rRNA from 1 species